GACGAACGCUGGCGGCGUGCUUAACACAUGCAAGUCGAGCGGUAAGGCCCUUUCGGGGGUACACGAGCGGCGAACGGGUGAGUAACACGUGGGUGACCUGCCCUCAGCUCUGGGAUAAGCCUGGGAAACCGGGUCUAAUACCGGAUAUGACUCCAUGACGCAUGUUGUGGGGUGGAAAGCCUUGUGCGGCUGAGGAUGGGCCCGCGGCCUAUCAGCUUGUUGGUGGGGUGANGGCCUACCAAGGCGACGACGGGUAGCCGGCCUGAGAGGCGACCGGCCACACUGGACUGAGACACGGCCCAGACUCCUACGGGAGGCAGCAGUGGGGAAUCUUGCGCAAUGGGCGAAAGCCUGACGCAGCGACGCCACGUGAGGGAUGACGGCCU
rnacentral:rRNA from 1 species